AGUGAACGCUGGCGGUAGGCCUAACACAUGCAAGUCGAACGGCAGCACAGUAAGAGCUUGCUCUUACGGGUGGCGAGUGGCGGACGGGUGAGGAAUACAUCGGAAUCUACUUUUUCGUGGGGAUAACGUAGGGAAACUUACGCUAAUACCGCGUACGACCUACGGGUGAAAGCAGGGGAUCUUCGGACCUUGCGCGAUUGAAUGAGCCGAUGUCGGAUUAGCUAGUUGGCGGGGUAAAGGCCCACCAAGGCGACGAUCCGUAGCUGGUCUGAGAGGAUGAUCAGCCACACUGGAACUGAGACACGGUCCAGACUCCUACGGGAGGCAGCAGUGGGGAAUAUUGGACAAUGGGCGCAAGCCUGAUCCAGCCAUACCGCGUGGGUGAAGAAGGCCUUCGGGUUGUAAAGCCCUUUUGUUGGGAAAGAAAAGCAGCAGGUUAAUACCCCGCUGUUCUGACGGUACCCAAAGAAUAAGCACCGGCUAACUUCGUG
rnacentral:rRNA from 1 species